CCCUUAGAUGUUCUGGGCCGCACGCGCGCUACACUGAUGCAUUCAACGAGCCUAUCCUUGACCGACAGGUCCGGGUAAUCUUUGAAUCUGCAUCGUGACGGGGAUAGAUUAUUGCAAUUAUUAAUCUUCAACGAGGAAUGCCUAGUAGGCGCAAGUCAUCAGCUUGCGUCGAUUACGUCCCUGCCCUUUGUACACACCGCCCGUCGCUCCUACCGAUUGAAUGGUUUAGUGAGAUCUUCGGAUUGGCGCCACUGCGGCUCAGCAAUGGGCUCGGUGGAUGCCGAAAAGUUGAUCAAACUUGAUCAUUUAGAGGAAGUAAAAGUCGUAACA
rnacentral:rRNA from 1 species